CCUACGGGAGACAGCAGUGAGGAAUAUUGGUCAAUGGGCGCGAGCCUGAACCAGCCAAGUAGCGUGAAGGAUGACUGCCCUACGGGUUGUAAACUUCUUUUAUAAAGGAAUAAAGUGAGGCACGUGUGCCUGUUUGUAUGUACUUUAUGAAUAAGGAUCCGCUAACUCCGUGCCAGCGGCCGCGGUAAUACGGAGGAUCCGAGCGUUAUCCGGAUUUAUUGGGUUUAAAGGGAGCGUAGAUGGGUUGUUAAGUCAGUCGUGAAAGUUUGAGGCUCAACCGUAAAAUUGCAAUUGAUACUGGCAGCCUUGAGUACUGUUGAGGUAGGCGGAAUGCGUGGUGUAGCGGUGAAAUGCUUAGAUAUCACGAAGAACUCCGAUUGCGAAGGCAGCUUACUAAACUGCCACUGACAUUGAUGCUCGAAAGUGUGGGUAUCAAACAGGAUUAGAUACCCUUGUAGUC
rnacentral:rRNA from 1 species